rnacentral:rRNA from 1 species
CGAGCUUAACCGAAUAGGGGAGGCGUAGCGAAAGCGAGUCUGAUAAGGGCGUUGAGUAGCAUGGCGUAGACCCGAAACCGGAUGAUCUAUCCAUGGCCAGGAUGAAGGUGCCGUAACAGGUACUGGAGGUCCGAACCCACUAGUGUUGAAAAACUAGGGGAUGAGCUGUGGAUAGGGGUGAAAGGCUAAACAAAUCCGGAAAUAGCUGGUUCUCCCCGAAAACUAUUUAGGUAGUGCGUCAUGUAUCACUUGCGGGGGUAAAGCACUGUUAUGGCUAGGGGGUCAUCGCGACUUACCAAACCAUGGCAAACUCUGAAUACCGCAAAGUGCGAGCAUGGCAGACAGACAGUGGGUGCUAACGUUCAUUGUCGAGAGGGAAACAACCCAGACCGCCAGCUAAGGUCCCAAAGACACAGUUAAGUGGGAAACGAAGUGGGAAGGCAUAGACAGCUAGGAGGUUGGCUUAGAAGCAGCCACCCUUUAAAGAAAGCGUAAUAGCUCACUAGUCGAGUCGUCCUGCGCGGAAGAUGUAACGGGG